ensembl:lncRNA
GAAUCCACGUUAUUUCAAUUAUCCAACCACAACUCUGUCUCCUAUAAAAGAAACGCAGUGCUGUGCUCAAGGUUUCAUCUUGAGAUGUGUUUGCCUGUUCGUUGUUUGCCUGUUUGUUAUUAAGGAGAUUCAUUAAUCAGAUAAGACUCGUCAUGAUCCCAGCUACUCAAGCUCGUGAUCAGUGGACCUGGUUUCAAAGACUAAAGCAAGAAUUCUGCAAGCCCAUCUUGACAAUAAUUGCUUCUGGCAUCGUUUUAUUCCUUAUUUCUGGAGGGAUACUCUUGUAUGGAUUAUGCCAAAACUCAGACUACACCUCUCUCGAACCAGAAGAAUUAGUGAGGUAUCAUCGAACUGCCCACAGUCAUCCUGAAGGUUUUGAAACAGAGGCAGCAACUAUCAGCACCUCACUAUGAUAUAUAUUAAACCCAGAUAUCACUGGGUCUUUUAACCUUCUGAAAGUUCCUUGAGUAUAAAGUAGAAAUAAACUCUGACCUCUAAAAAGUUUUGUUUUCUGA